rnacentral:rRNA from 1 species
GACGAACGCUGGCGGCGUGCCUAAUACAUGCAAGUAGAACGCUGAAGCUUGGUGCUUGCACCGAGCGGGUGAGUUGCGAACGGGUGAGUAACGCGUAGGUAACCUUCCUGGUAUCGGGGGAGAACUAUUGGAAACGAUAGCUAAUACCGCAUAAGAGUAGAUGUUGCAUGACAUUUGCUUAAAAGGUGCAAUUGCAUCACUACCAGAUGGACCUGCGUUGUAUUAGCUAGUUGGUGAGGUAACGGCUCACCAAGGCAACGAUACAUAGCCGACCUGAGAGGGUGAUCGGCCACACUGGGAAUGAGACACGGCCCAGACUCCUACGGGAGGCAGCAGUAGGGAAUCUUCGGCAAUGGACGGAAGUCUGACCGAGCAACGCCGCGGGAGUGAAGAAGGUUUUCGGAUCGUAAAGCUCUGUUGUAAGAGAAGAACGAGUGUGAGAGUGGAAAGUUCACACUGUGACGGUAUCUUAACAGAAAGGGACGGCUAACUACGUG